CUUUCUUUAUUCUUGAUUGAAUGCUACGUGUAUGCACGUGGUGCUUCUACGUGGCCCCGUUGGAAGCAUUACAUGUGGUCAGUAACAAAGAUUAAAUAGUGUGUUGGGAUUUUGUCACCCAAUCAAAGCAAUAUUCAGAAAACUAAACCCACAAAAACAGUAAAUAAUCAACAAAAAGAAAUUGGUCAUUUAGUUCGACAAAGCCGACUCGAGAGGCUCAAAGGUAAGAGUCCAUCACUAUGUGCAAGAUCCUCCCAAGAGAGAGUUUAAGGUUAGAGUACGACAAUCACAUCAUCGACUCAAUAAAUAGAUUAUCGAUCUAUAACAAAUCUCACAAUAACACCAUCUAACCGACAUAAGACCAAGACACAAGUGUAGAAUACUUUUUUUACAGUUCAAAACCAACCCAAAAAAGGCCUCAAAACUUCCUGUCACGAACACUAUACACAAGCCAAAACAUAAGCCUGGGAUUACAACAGACCAAAGGCCACAAAUCAAGGCCAAGAUCUGAUUUGCAACAAAGAACGAACUACAGAUCUGAAAAUCAAAGGUGAUGAUAUUAGAGAGACCAAAAACACCAGAGACUCAGAGAAGAAAACCAAAAAAAUGAAAUGAACCCCUUCAAACCGUUUAUAGCCAAACCCAAGGGUCAAGACCAUUUUCAUUUAAGCCUCAACCGUUAGAUCAGAUCAACGGUCUGGAUGAGUAAACAACAAACACAAAUUCAGGAGAUAGCGAGAUAGCCAGUAGACUUACAUGUUAAAAAAAUGUUUUUCCACUUAUAAAACUGGUUCUUGGUUUUUGAAAACACAAUUUUACAAUCUUCACCUUAUUUUCUCAAACCCCUCACUCUCUCUAGUUGCUACAUUGCACUUGACCGUAUUUUACCGUAUGCCCUAAGUAGCUACAAAAGAUUAGCCCGUAUUAAUACGUCGUAAAGAUAAACAAGAUUUAAACUUACGAGCAGUUAGAAUUUUGGUUCCUGUAUUGGAUGGGUUCAUAUUGGUAUGAAUUUUUUCAAGUAUAACCUCACUACAUGCAAUUUUCUCUCGUAUAAAGUGGUACUUCACCUCAAUGUGCUCAGAUCUCUCAUGAUAAACACGAUUUUUACAUAAAAGCAAAGUACACUGACUAUCAGUGAAAAUUAUAGGUGACUUUUGAAAAAAAAUUCAAUUUUCCCAAAAUUUCCUCUAAUCAGAUACAUUCUUUUACAUAUUUAGUAAUUGCCACAUAUUCAGCGUCUGUGUUGGAUAAUGUGACAACAGAAUGAAUUUAUGACUUCCAUGUGAUGCAAUUAUCAAUAAGUACGAAGAAAUAGGCAGUAGUAAACUUUCUUUGAUCAUUAUCCCCAUCAAAAUUCGAGUUUAGAUACCCCUUUAACAUAAGCUGUUCAAAUCUAUUUUCAAACACCAAUCCCAUAUUUAAUGUCCCGGUUAUGUAUUUUAGAAGCCAUUUUAAUCCAAACUAAUGAGGUUUUUCCGAAUUAGACAUGAAUCUACUUCGAAAACUUAUAGCAUAAGUCAAAUUAGGCCUAGUGGUGAUCAUAGAAAACAUGACCCAUCCUUGAGCAUUAACAUAUGGGAUAUUCUUCAUUUCUUUCAUUUUCAUUUUUAUUUUAGGUGAUUAUGAUGUGAUAAGUGUAUUUUUGUACACUUAUUUAGGUCACAAAUAUGACUAAAUAACGAGCAAAAUGAUUGAAUUGUGACUUAAUCUUGUUACAUUUGUGAAUUGUAGGGAACGAAGAUGAACAUGGUGAAAUUCAGGAAAAAAGACGCGAAAAAGGACUAAAAUGACGCAAAGUGAAAGUUCAGGGACCAAGGGGCAAUUAUCCAAAAGUUGACCCGAUGAACAAAUCGAGAAAUUGAUUAAGCCAAUUGCCAAUUGAUGAUAACUUGGGAUGAUUUAAUGAAAAGAAUGAAGAAAAGAUGCCAAGAAGUGAAGUAUUCAAGCGGGAGGACCAAAAUGCACAACUUCCAUAGUUGGUAGCACUAUGCGACCACAUAGUGCUACCCUCUAUGCGGUCGCAUAGAGGCAUACCGCAAGAAAAAGGCCACAAUAUUUUUACUCUAUGUGACCGCAUAGAGAAAUUCCCGGUUAAAAUUUUAGUUUUCUUUUUUCCGUCGAAACUCUUAUGGAAACAAUAUUUUUAGGAUCCUAUAAAUACAAAAACUCGACCAAAAUGUAAGGGACGCCUUUUUUACAUAUUUUUGAGAGAUUUUGAACGAGAAACGAAUGAUAAAACAAAAGAACAACAUCGCGCCAAGUGAAGAUUGGAUUGAAGAUUGAUUCGGGUGAUGACACUUCUUCAAAUAUUUUUAUGUUUUCUUCUUUUUAGCAUGUUAAGCUAGAUUUAUUAUUGUUAGGAGAUCGAUGAAUCUUUUAAUACUACGUUUGAUUGUUAAUUUGGAUUUUUGACGUAUUUGAACACAAGUUUCGGAUUUGAUUGAUUUAUUAUGUUUUUAUUUUCAUAUGAUUAUUGUGCACGUAAUUAUAUGAUUGUGGUGGCCUAUUUUAUGCAUUCGAAAGAAGGAAAAUAGGUUCGACAUAGUAUAAAUCAUCAUAGGGUUCGAUAGGGGAUAGAAAUAUACAUCUAUGCCUUGUGUGAAUCAUUGGAUUUUCGUAAAUUUAUAAUGCAUUUUGGUAUUGGGAUAGGUUUGACAUUGCUCGAAAGAGAUUGCUAAAUUAAAAUAGGAAUAUUGAUUCAUCUUUUAUGGAACUGUGUGCUAAAGUUGCAUAAUUGACAAUUGAACAGGUAUUGCUUGGGGAUUCGUGAUCUAGUGCGUUAGUAUACUCAUUAAAUCCAUAAAUUAGAGUUAAAUUACAUCCAAGUUAUUUUGCAUUUAAGUAUAAUUCUUCAUUCACACUUGCAUCAAAGGUUAUAUCUUUUUAGUUAAAGUACAAAACCUCAAUUUGAUUUUCGUGUUUCGAUUAAGGUCAUAAUAGAUUAAUUUGAACUAAUUCAAUCCUCGUGGGAUUGAUACUUGGACUCAUAGUCCAUUUUACUAGUUAACGAACCGUACACUUGCGGUGGAUUUUAAAUCGGAACAAAUAAUUUCCCAAACAAGUUUUUGGCGCCGUUGUCGAGGAUUGCAAUUUAGUUUUAAUUUUAACUUUUGUGAUACUAAUUCGAACUUAUCUAGAUUAGUAGUAGUUAGCUUACUAGGUUUAGUUUAAAAUUACUUCAAUUUAAUUUUGCGUUAAUUUUGUUAUCUCAGGAAUUGUAUGCAAGGAGCACCUGAUCAAGACUUGGUUCCCAUAGAUCUAGAGAUUGAACGCACAUUCCGUCACAGGCAAAAAGAAGCAAGAGCAGCACAACAAAUGGCUAACGAGCAAAAUCGAACGGUAAUUCCACUCAACGAAGGCAUGGCAGUUAAAGAUGAUGAGAAUACAGUACUCGGGGACUUCAUGACUCCGUUGGUGGUCCAAAGUCAAUCUAGCAUUGUGUAUCUUCCAUUUGGGCAACCGAAUUUCCAGCUAAAAACUAAUGUGAUUCAACUAUUUCAAAAUGGGCAUCAAUAUCACGCGAUGGCUAGUGAAAAUCCGCAUACACACAUAUCCCGAUUUCUGGAUAUGUGUCAACACUUUAGGUAUCAAGGUAUCUCGGACGAUGCAAUAAGACUGCGUUUGUUUCCACACACCUUAUGAGAUACAGCACUUGAAUGGCUAGAUUCACUACUCGUCGCAAGUAUCACCACUUGGAACGAGCUAGCCCACAAAUUCUGCACCAAGUUCUUCUCACCAGCUAAGGUAGCCAAAAUGCAGCAUAAUAUCUCUAUAUUCAACCAAUGUGAGUCCGAAUCAUUUGAAGAGACAUAGAAUCGUUUCAAAAAUAUGUUAAGGAAGUGUCCGCAACAUGGCUUUGACAAGAAGACACAGAUCCGAUUUUUCUCACUGGACUACUUCCAUCUUUCAAGAGCAUGGUGGAUUCAUCAUCUGACAGGUCUAUCUCUACAAGAACAAUUGACAGAGCAUGGGAGCUAUUUGAGAGAAUGGCUACAACUUCAGCCAUGUGGUCUACAGAUCGAGUGGUUCAGAAGAGAACGCCAGGGAUUUAUAAAGUAGAUACUUACUCAGCAUUGUCUGCAAAGAUAGACUCUUUGUUUCAUAAGGUUGAGAGCAUUUCACAGACCGCCACUACAAAACAAGUCAAGAAGCCAAGUUGUGAAGAAUGUGGAGCAGACCACAACACUAUUAAUUGUCCAAUUCUCGCACAGGGUGUCGAACAUGCAGAUUUUGUGCAAUGGGGUCAACGCCAACAGAACAGCCCACAUUCGAAAACCUUCAAUCAGGGCUAGAGAAAACACACAAACUUCUCGUGGAGUAAUCAGAAUCAAAACAGACCACAAGGUCAAUAUCAGCAGCAGGAUAAUAAGCCACCAUUGGAAGAGAUGUUCAAGAAGUUCAUGGCAACAACCAAUCAGUAUAUGGAAGCCAACAACUAGUUUAUGCGAAAGAUAGAUGCAACUCUUCAAGACCAAAGUGCAGCAAUCGAAAAUUUGGAGACACAAAUAGGACAGAUGGCAAUCUCCAUGAUGGGUAGAGCACCAGGAAACUUAUCUAACAACACUGAAAUUAACCCUAAGGAGCACGAAAAGCUAUAACAACCAGAAGUGGAGUACAACUACCGAAGAUACAUGUAAAAAGACUGGUAACUAGCAAGGAAUCAGCACCAACCUUAGAUGACGAAAUUGUGGAACAGACUGAACAAACAACAGGGGAUGUGGUCAAGAAGAAUUCCAAUACAUCACGAGGUACAUCUACCAUCCUAUCAAACCUCAUGAGCCUCAUAUUCCAUUCCCGCAAAGGUUGAAAAAGCACAAAUUGGAUCAGCAAUAUAGUAAAUUUCUUGAAGUCUUUAAGAAAUUACACAUCAACAUCCCAUUUGCUGAGGCACUUGUUCAGAUGUCGAUUUAUGCAAAAUUCCUGAAGGAUAUCCUCUCCAACAAGCGAAAGAUAGAAGAAAACGAAAUAGUGAUGCUAACCGAGGAAUGCAGUGCUAGAAUCCAGAGAAAGGUACCUCCAAAACUAAAGGAUCCAGGGAGUUUUACUGUACCUGGCACUAUUGGAAAUUGUCAUUUUGAUAAAGCAUUGUGUGACUUAGGUGCAAGUAUUAAUUUAAUGCCUCUCUCUAUUUUCAGGAAACUCGGCUUGGGAGAAGCUAAAGCCACAACAGUUACCUUGCAAUUAGCAGAUCGAUCCCUUACACAUCCACGAGGGAUCAUUGAAGACGUGUUGGUAAAAGUGGAGAAGUUCAUAUUUCCAACCGAUUUUCUCAUCUUAGACAUGGAGGAGGAUAAGGAUGUUCCACUCAUAUUGGGGCGACCUUUCUUAGCUAUUGGAAGAGCAAUUGUCGAUGUUCAAAAGGGGCAGCUUAUAUUGAGGCUUGGCGAAGAGCAAAUCUCUUUCAACGUGUUCAAGGCAAUGAAAUUCCCUACUGAGUCAGACAGCUGUUUCCAGAUCGAUGUAAUUGACAGAAUAAUUCAAGAUACAUUUCUGCUACAUCAUCCUUCCGAUUCAUACGAGGCGUGCAUUGCACAUUCUCAAUCCACUCACAUUGAUUCAAGUGAGAUUGAAACAUGUGCGUGGUUUUUGGAAACUAAUCCACCAUACAUGCGCAGACGUUGCUUUGAAGAGUUGGGAACUUAGACUACAAAGUCAGUGCCAUCUAUUCAGCAACCUCCCAAAUUGGAACUCAAGCAAUUGCCACCACACCUUCGAUAUGCUUACCUGGGGAAAUUUUCUACACUUCUGGUUAUUAUUUCAAGUACUGUCAGUGAAGUGGAGGAAGAGAAACUAUUUCGGGUGCUAAAGGAGAAUAAAACAGCUAUUGGAUGGUCUAUUGCAGAUAUCAAGGGAAUCAACCUGUCACUUUGCAUGCAAAAAAUACUCAUGGAGGAAGAAUUCAAGCCAAGCAUUGAUGGUCAAUGAAGAUUGAAUCCACACAUGAAGGAAGUGGUUGGGGCUGAGGUAUUGAAGUUGCUCGACGCAGACAUCAUCUAUCCAAUAUCAGAUAGCGCAUGGAUCAGUGUCGUACAGGUUGUUCCCAAGAAAGGGGGUAUCACAGUGAUAGAAAAUGAAAAAAAUGAGUUGAUUCCUACACGAACAGUGACUGGAUGGAGAGUUUGCAUCGAUUACCACAAACUAAACGCUGCUACUCGAAAGGAUCACUUUCUACUAUCGUUCAUUGAUCAGAUAUUGGAGAGACUAGCAAGGCACUCGCAUUACUAUUUUCUGGACGGGUAGUCCGGGUAUAAUCAAAUUCCAAUAGCACCUGACAAUCAGGAAAAGAUAACUUUCACCUGUCCCUACGGUACCUUUGCAUACCGUAGGAUGCCGUUUGGUUUAUGCAAUGCUCUUACCACUUUUCGGCGCUUCAUGAUGGCGAUCUUCUCAGAUAUGAUUGAGAAAUUCAUUGAGGUAUUCAUGGAUGACUUCUCAGUGUUUGGGUCUUCAUUUGAUGAGUGCUUAGACCAUUUGAGUCUUGUGCUACAGCGUUGUACGGAGACACACUUGGUAUUGAUUUGGGAGAAAUGCCACUUUAUGGUAUAGGAAGGCAUCGUGUUAGGACACCGAAUCUCAACAAAGGGUAUUGAAGUAGACAGAGCAAAAAUUCAGAUGAUCGAGAAAUUACCGCCACCAGCAUUAGUGAAAGGUGUUCGUUGCUUCCUCGAGCAUGUCGAGUUCUACAGAACGUUCAUCAAGGAUUUCUCAAAAAUUACCAAACCACUAUGCUGUUUAUUGAUGAAGGAAUCCACAUUUGAGUUCACAGAUGGAUGUCUGCUAGCUUUUAACACCUUGAAAGAAAAGUUGGUUUCAGCACCCGUGAUCAUCACAUCGGAUUGGAACCUGCCAUUUGAAUUAAUGUGCGACGCCAGUGAUUUUGCUGUUGGGGAAUAAGAUAUUUCACGUGAUCUACUAUGCAAGUAAGACCUUGAACGACGCUCAACUCAAUUAUGCCACUACAGAGAAAGAGCUCCUUGCCGUAGUCUACGCCUUUGACAAAUUUCGAUCAUACCUUGUGGGGUCAAAGGUCAUCGUUUACACAGAUCACGCUGCUAUCAAGUACUUAAUGGAAAAGAAGGAUGCAAAGCCACGUCUCAUUCAUUGGAUAUUAUUGCUUCAAGAGUUUGAUUUGGAAAUCAAGGAUAAGAAGGGCAGUGAAAACAUAGUGACAGACCACUUAUCUCGACUCGAGGCCACAGAACAGACAGAGACAGUGGAAAUUAAUGAAGUCUUCCCAGAUGAACAGAUUUUUGGUGUGGGGGAGGCACCCUGGUAUGCGGACAUAGUUAACUACUUAGUCAGGUCUAUCAUGCCGCCUGAUUACUCCAGUCACCAAAAGAAGAAAUUUUUCGCUGAAUUGAAGUAUUAUUUUUGGGAGGACCCCAUUCUAUAGAGGCAGGGGGCUGAUCAAAUUGUUCGUCGCUCUGUACCUGAGGAAGAAGUGCCUUUGAUAUUAGAACAUUGUCAUUCAUCUACAUAUGCAGAGUAUUUUGGUGCUUCGAAAAUAGCAGCGAAGAUCCUUCAAUCAGGUUUUUACUGGCCUACACUGUUUAAGGAUGCCUUUGAAUUCGUGAAAAGGUGUGGCCAAUGUCAACACACCGAUAAUAUAUCCAAGAGAAAUGAAAUGCCUUUGAACAGUAUCCUGGAGGUGGAACUAUUCGACACCUGGGGGAUCGACUUCAUGGGGCCAUUUCCUCAAUCCUUCUCUAAUCAGUACAUAUUAGUGGCUGUGGAUUACGUAUCGAAGUGGGUUGAGGCAGUUACAUUGCCUACCAACGAUGGGAAGAUGGUGGUUUUUAAAGAAACAUAUUUUUACCCACUUUGGAACACCGAGGGCUAUAAUCAGUGACGAGGGCAAACAUUUCUGCAAUCGCCAAUUUGAACAAUUGUUGACUAAAUAUGACGUUAAACAUCGUGUAGCCACUGCAUAUCAUCCCCAAACCAGCGGACAGGUCGAAGUGUCUAAUAGGCAAUUGAAGCGAAUACUCGAAGUCACAGUAAGCUCAUCACAAAAAGAUUGGUCUAAGAAACUGGACGACGUCUUGUGGGCCUAUAAGACUGCAUUCAAGACCCCUAUAGGAGUGUCACCAUAUCGACUGGUUUUCGGGAAGGCAUGCCACUUACCUCUUGAGGUAGAACAUCAUGCUUACUGGGCAAUGAAGAAAUUGAAUUUGGAUUUAAAGGCUAUGGAUGAAAAACGUCUACUACAACUUAAUGAGCUGGACGAGCUCAGAAUGGAAGCCUACGAGAAUUCAAGACUCUACAAAGAAUGCACCAAGAAACGGCAUGAUAUGCACAUUCAGAGGCAUGAGUUUACGGUGGGGAAAAAAGUGCUACUCUACAACUCUAGGCUUAAACUGUUACCAGAAAAGUUGCGAUCGAGGUGGUCUAGUCCGUAUACUAUUACACAGGUUUUUCCACAUGGGGCAGUUGAGAUCACUCACGACAGUAAGGGGACAUUCAAGGUUAAUGGACAGCGUUUGAAGCAUUAUUGGGGCGGCGAUUUUUCAAAGGAAAAGUCUACCGUUCAUCUUAGACCAAUAGAAUGACGCAAUACGGUAAAGUCGAGCUAUCGACUAUAAUCUAGCACUGGGUGGGAGGCAACCCACUGUAUCCUUCUAUUAGCUUACUUUUCACAUUAUUUUUAGAAUUAUUUCAUUUUCGCAUUUGCAUUUUUCUAGGUCAUCGAUUGUACAUGCAUGUUAAUUGGAUCGAAUUAUCAUCCCCAUAAUUUUCUAGGCAUUUUGAAUGUUUGGGAGUAUGAUUCACACAUUUCUAGAUAAAAGAACAUUUAAAAAAAAUUACGAGGAAAGUACCUUUUUGCAUUUCAGUGUGUUUUAAUAUAUAUAUAUAAAAAAAACUUGGUCUAUACGACCGCAUAGGCAUAUACCGAAACUAAAAUGGGGAAAAUUGUUUUCACUGUGCGACUGCAUAGCAUUCAACUAUGUGGCCGCAUAGUAAUGGCCGGUCAUGGACUUAAGUCCAAGACCGGCUCAUUAGAAGGGCAAACACCCAUUUCCCUCACCCAUAUUUCUCUCAACACUUAGGUCCAACGAGUCUCAUUCGAACACACACACACACUCCCACUAACAUUCCUACCCCUCAUUCAUUUCAUCCAUCACUUUGGCAUUCGUCACUCAUCUUCAAGGCAACAUAAGGGACGAAAUUUUUCUUUCCUCCUUUCAUUUCAUAUUUGGGUUGUAGUUACUCAUAUUUUCCAAUUGGGAAUUAAGUUGAAAGGGUGUAAGUAUGCUUGGUUUAGGGCUUUAAUUUGUGUUUUUGCUUUUUGGAUGAUUACCAUUUGCCAAGUAGUUUUAGAAUGGAGUUGAAUAUAUAUUGCACACAACGUGUUCGAUGGAUUGCCUAAGUGAAAUUUGUUGUGCAUUUUGACCAAUCUCGCAUUGGACAAUCAACCUAUACGCAUUCCUUUCCACGUGGUGAUCCAAUGCCAUAGAUAUUGAACUCGAAACACUCCCGUACCACCACACACAUGUAGGCACACGUGCUAGGCUCACGUCACUUCACAACACCCACUUCAUCCCUUGCGUUAAGUACCCGUAUGACAUCCAAUGAGCGUGAAAUUUGAAUAUGUGCUACUCCACACUACAUACUUUCAUAUGCCCGAAGGUUGCUUGGGAAAAAUUCAAGUUUUCUCGAUGAUGUCCAGAGGCAAAAGCGCACACUAAAUCACGAGUCACUUGACACAAUUUGGUUGUUUUGCGCUCCGUUUGUGUGAAUAUGGUUAUUUUGCUUUCCUUAUAUGUUCUUGAGCAUGUUUUCUUGACACUUGCAUGUUACCACAUUCACAACCACUUGAAAGGCCAUAUAUCACAUCAUAUCCAUUUUGCAACACGUAGGCACAUGGCUAGGUCACAGCACCCUACGGCCCCUAUUUUCCACCAUUAUUUGGCAUACCAAAUGAAGUCCAUUUGCUUUGAAAUUUGAAUAUAUGGUAGAUCUCAUUGAAUACUUUCAUAUGCCCGAAAAUUUCUCGGGGAUCUUUCGAUAUUUUUCGAUGAUAUUCGAGGUCGAACAUGCGUACUCGGUCAUGGGUCCCCUUUUCCAAAUAUGCUUGUUUCGGCCUCAACUUCCAGUUUUUCAUCUUAGCAUUCUAUUUACACUACCUUGAAUGUCAUAUUUUGAUGAGUGCACACCACGAAGUUCUAUAUGCACGUUGAAGUAAGUUUGGGGGAUUUGUUAAAUACUUGUCUUGCUAAUCUCAUUCCCCCUAUCGUUUUUCAACAAACAGUUUAAUGACUUUUAUUUUUAUUCCUUUGCAGGAUGCCUCCAAAGCGAACAUCCAAGGGAAAGGAGAAGGUUGAUUCCAUAUCUGGCACAGCCCGGACUAGGGAACCCAAAGGGGGUGUCCGACGUUUUCUAUCUUCAGACCAAGCAGCCCGCUAUGCCAAUAUUGUCUGUGAAUGGGCACUCAUCCCUAAGCGACUAGUUAAGUUGGAUGAUUUCCUUGGUUUUGAAUUGGUCUAUUUAAUCCAAAACUGCGGUUGGGAGAAAGUGGUCAAGAGACCACACGCCGUCUAUGAAAAUUUGGUACGGGAAUUCUACGCAAACUUCAAUGCUAAAAUAGACACACCUGGAUCCGACCAUCUGCAUCAAACAUGGGUUCGGGGUAAAUGGAUCAUGUUUUCACCUGAGGUAAUACAUGACUACUAUCAGCUCACCUGGACUAAUGUAGUCCCAGUCCUGCAUGAUUACAACUGGGUUGAGGUUGCAGAAGUGUUAUUGGGAUGUGAAAACGCUUGGCCUCUCCCUAUUGCUGAUUGGUAUCAGAUUGAUCUCACUCCUUCUAUAGCCAUCCUAUAGUUGUUCAUCUGCCACAACAUCGAGCCCAUCUCCCAUAGGACGACAUUCACAAAUCAGAAGGCGGGGUUCAUCUAUCAAUUGGUUCGGGGCAACAAGAUUGACUUAGCCACUUACAUUCACAAUCAGAUACACGUUACAGGUGCAUGGGGUGACAGGCACACAUCACUGAUUUUCCCGAGCUUGAUAAGUGGGAUUUGUAGAGCUGCUGGUAUACAAGUUCAGCCAGGGGAGGCACCGGAGAAACCAAGUCCAUUUAUCAAACGCCUCAUACUCGAGACCCAGGACCGAGCCAGAAUUAAACACCAACAGAAAUUGGAAAAUGAGCACCGACAACAGCAACAGGCUACAGAAGGGCCAGCAACUGAGGACUUUGAAAUGCCAUAAGCUCCACCACCACCGGCUGACGUGGACACCUAGUUAUUGAGGCAGAUGUUUGCCACUAUGACUGGACACAGCCGAGACAUGCAGCAGCUUCAGCACUCUUUUGGGGCACUGACUACCACCAUCCAGCAGGUGCAGAAGGAUAUGUCAUCUGCACGAAACUUCGCUUCCACUGCCAGCAUUGGCACGCCGACAGAUGAGUACCUUUGAUGGGCGUUUGGGCAUGUACGUUAGCCGGAUGGAUGGUAUACAGUGGCGGGUAAACGAGACUUGGGACUGUCUAGGGAGUUUGGAGACAAUGGUGCAGGCCAUGCAAAUGGAGGAGACCCAGCAGUCUGCCAUGUUGAGAGAGAUCUUGUCCCGCCUUUCCUCCCCUCCUGGCGAUGAUUAUGUCGGGCCCAACUUUCCGUCCCAGCCAUCGUUUUGAUCAAGGGAGUACUGUUUUCCCCAUUUUGAUUUUUCGUCUUCAUUUUGUCCUUAAAAUUAUGUCUUUAAUCUUUUGUUAAUCUUAUGUUUAGGACAAUGUAUUAACUAAGUUUGAGGGGGUGACAUAAUUUUAACUCUCUAUCUGUGUUCAUCAUUAUCUUUUUUCCACUCUUUCCAUUACUGCAUAAUGUGUGCAUGAUGCGUGUUAUAAAAAAAAUUUCAUUUUAUUCAAUUUGUUUUAAAUUCUCUUUAUACAUGUUUGUGUGGGCUUGAUAACCUUGUUUGCUAUGAUGAUAUUAUUGGACUAGCGUAAACUGCAAAACUUUGGAUCUUGUGUUAAUUAGACUAACUGAUACUUGUUGAUGCAACACUUGACAUUAUCUGUGCACGCUAUUCAUGCUUGCAAUAUUAGGAGAAUGAUUGGAUUUUUGGCAUAAUAUAGGAAAAAAAUGAUAAUCCUCUAUUGAAUUAACCCAUAAACUACCUUAAGACAGUUUGGUGAUAGUUGAAAGCGUUGAGAUGAGCGGGGGCUCCGUGCAUGAAAUUUAUUGUGUGAAUUGCCUAGAUCAGUGGGAUGAAGAGUAGGUGAAAAUCUUAAAUGGGGGGUUGGUUUUGGAAGCUAAAUGUCUAGAAAAAUAACAAAGGGCACAAAUUUAUUAUGUGAGAGUGAAACACUUCUUUUCAUGCCUUUAUGACUCGAGCAAGUAAGCCUGUAAGGAUAUUUCAAAAUCUGGUGCCCUAAAGCCAACUGGCCUGAGAGUCACCGACCUAAAGCUCAAUACAUGGGUCAUAUAGAAAGCAAGAGGAAAAGAAAUUAAUAAAAAGUCAUCUUAUCGAGCCUUUAUAACUCGAGUGAAUAAGCCUGCAAGGGUUUAAAAUCUGGUACCCUAAAGCCAACUGGUUUGGGAAUUAUCGACCUAAAACUCGUUACAUGGGUUAUAUAGAAAGCAAAUGAGAAGAUAACAACCAAAUUAAAGAACGGUGAGAAAAACAAAAGAGAGACAAUAACAUGACGAAAAGCCCUUAGACAAUUGGUUGAAGAGACUAUACCUCUGAGGCGAGACAAGUAAUCUAGUUUAAUCUUGAGAGUCGAAGCAAUCAACCUUAGGAGAGCCUUCACUUGUUGAAAUGUAAAACUUGUGAUAGUAAGACUAAUCCAAACUACAAGAGGGUGAGGACUACAACUAUAUAAAUUCUUAAUCUUAAAACACAUCAUCGGGAUAAUUGAAUGAAAAGAAUAAGUUUGGGGGGUUGUGUAUCUCUCGAGCAAGUAAGGAUAUAUUUGACCACUUGGGGUCGGGACUCAAUUUCAUCAUGAACCUGAUAUGUUGGCAUGUAUUCACACACACACGUCAGUUUGCAUUUAACAUGUAAAUGUUGAUGUUAUGUUUGCACAGAUAAAUUUUUGAAUACUCGGUCCAAUCCUGAGCCACAACAGGAUAUUAAGCCAUGUUUGUUCAGAAUUAAGUCACUAUCUUGUUUGAGAACAAACAAUAGUUCAAGUUUGGGGGAUUUGAUAAGUGUAUUUUUGCACACUUAUUUAGGUCACAAACAUGACUAAAUAACGAGCAAAAUGAUUGAAUUGUGACUUAAUCUCGUUACAUUUGUGAAUUGUAGGGAAUGACGAUGAACAUGGUAAAAUUCAGGAAAAAAGACGCGAAAAAAGACUAAAAUGACGCAAAGUGAAAGUUCAGGGACGAAGGUGCGAUUAUCCAAAAGUUGACCUGAUGAACAAAUCGAGAAAUUGAUUAAGCCAAUUAUCAAUUGACGAUACUUUGGGAUGAUUUAAUGAAAAGAAAGAAGAAAGAUGCCAAGAAAUGAAGUAUUCAAGUGGGAGGACCAAAAUGCACAACUUCCAUAGUUGGUAGCACUAUGCAACCACAUAGUGCUACCCUCUAUGCGGUCGCAUAGAGGCAUACCGCAAGAAAAAGGCCACAAUAUUUUUACUCUAUGCGUUCUGGUCGAGUUUUUGUAUUUAUAGGACCCUAAAAAUAUUGUUUUCGUAAGAGUUUCGGAGGAAAAAAGAAACUAAAAUUUUAACCGGGAAUUGCUCUAUGCGACCGUAUAGAGCAACUCUAUGCGGUCGCAUAGAGUUGCUCUAUACGGUCGCAUAGAGCAAUUCCCGGUUAAAAUUUUAGUUUCUUUUUUCCUCCGAAACUCUUACGAAAACAAUAUUUUUAGGGUCCUAUAAAUACAAAAACUCGACCAGAACAUAAGGAACGCUAUUUUUACAUAUUUUUGAGAGAUUUUGAAGGAGAAACGAAGGAUAGAACAAAAGAAAAAUAUCGCGCUAAGUGAAGAUUGGAUUGAAUAUUGAUUCGGGUGAUGACGUUUCUUCAAAUAUUUUUAUGUUUUCUUCUUUUUAGCAUGUUAGGCUAGAUUAUCAUUAAUAGGAGAUCGAUGAACCUUGUAAUACUACGUUUGAUUGUUAAUUUGAAUUUUUGACGUAUUUGAACACAAGUUUCGGAUUUGAUUGAUUUAUUACGUUUUUAUUUUCAUAUGAUUAUUGUGCACGUAAUUAUAUGAUUGUAGUGGCCUUUUUAUGCAUUCAAAAGAAGGAAAAUAGGUUCGACAUAGUAUAAAUCAUCAUAGGGUCCGAUGGGGGAUAGAAAUAUACCUCUAUGCCUUGUGUGAAUCAUUGGAUAUUCGUAAAUUUAUAAUGCAUUUCGGUAUGUUAAUAUUCGUCAUAGAAAUAUAAUCGAAUCAUAUAUUGAGAUAUGUUUGACAUUGCUCGAGAGAGAUUGCUAAACUAAAAUAGGAAUAUUGAUUCAUCUUUUGUGGAACUGUGUGUCAAAGUUGCAUAAUUGACAAUUGAACGGGUAUUGCUUGGGAAUUCGUGAUCCUAGUGUGUUAGUAUACUCAUUAAAUCCAUAAAUUCGAGUUAAAUUGCAUUUAAGUAUAAUUCUUCAUUCAUACUUGCAUCAAAGGUUACAUCUUUUUAGUUAAAGUACAAAACCUCAAUUUGAUUUUCGUGUUUCGGUUAAGGUCUUAAUAGAUUAAUUUGAACUAAUUCAAUUCUCGUGGGAUCGAUACUUGGAUUGAUAGUCCAUUUUACUACUUGUUAACGAACCAAACACUUGCAGUGGAUUUUAAAUCGGAACAAAUAAUUUCGCGAAUAAGAUGAUAAAUUCAUAUGGGUUGCAAAAGUUAUAUUCACAUGCUUAACUUUUUUCAAACCAAGUUUGGUUAUAACUUUGUUCAAAUAAGCACUUUGUGUUAUAAUUAAAAUAUUCUCUUACCUAUUUCUGUUAAUAAUCAUUCCUAAAUUUUUUUUUGCCAUUUUCUAAGUCUUUCUUAUCAAAUUUAGACUUUAGAAGUUAUGUCUUAAAAUUUCAGCUUUGCUAGAGCUGGCCAAUAGCAUCUCAUCAACAUAUAGAAGUAAACAAACUUCACUACGAGCCCUAUAUUAUUGUAGUAUAGACAGUGACCAUAUUCACUUCUUUUGAAACCAAUAAUCAACAUAUAUGUUUCAAAUCUAAUAAACCAUUGCCUUGGAUUUUGUUUGAGCCGUACAAUGAUUUUUACAACUUACAAACAUAACCUUCCUUUUCCUUUACCUCAAACCCUUGGGAUUGACUUAUAUAGAUCUCCUCAUCUAACUCAUCAUGUAAAAAGGCCAUCUUAACAUCUAAUUAUUCAAGUUCUCAAUUGAAUUGAACAACUACUGCAAUAAUCAAUCUUAUGGUCUUAUUUUUGACAACUGGAGAGAAGAUUUCAUUAUAGUCUACACCCUCCUUUUUUAGUAAAGCCUUUCGCUACAAGCUUUAUAUCUCAAAAGGUUAGAUGAGGUAAUCCCAUCGUUCGGUUUGAAAAUCCACUUGAAUUGAACAACUAUUUGAUUUUUAAGUUUCUAUUCUAAUUUCCAUGUAUUAUUUACAAGUAAAGAUUUCAUUUCUUCUUUCAUUGCAUCUUUUCAUUUCUCAAAUUUAAAGUAAUUCAUGGCCUCUUCAUAGGAUGAAAGUUCUUAAUACUCUAGAGUUCGCAAGAGAUAAGGGCAAAAUCAGUCAAGCCAUUUAUUUCAUAUCUUGGAUUUGGUUUGACUUGUCUCCUUUCCCUAUCUCUAAUCAAUUGAUAAUCCCAAGCGUUUAUCUCAACAGUGGGAACAUUUGGGCUUUCAGUUUUAGUCUCAACCUCAGUUUGAGCAACAUUUUCAUCAAGUUGUUGAAUGCCAACUUCAAUACUCUCAAGUUGAGUGGGGUUUAGCCUUACUAGCUUCAUCUCACUCCGUAAAUAAGUCUCUUUAUUUUGCUCUUUUAAAUUAUAAAUUUCAUAUUUCAUACAUGGCAUUUUUUAUUCAUGAAAUACCAUAGUUCAGCUAUUAAUGAACUUAAUGCCCUACACAACCAAUAUCCACAACCUGUAUCCCUUCACACCUUUUGGGUACCAAAGCAUAACACACUUAGUAACUCUGGGGUCCAACUUUCCCUCAACCUGAUGGGCAUAUGCCGUACAUCCAAGACUCUAAUGUGAGAAAGGUUUGGGGGCUUACCAGUCCAAAGUUCCUAUGGAGUCUUAAAUUCAACAGAACUACAUGAAAAUCGAUUUAUAAAAUAUAGCAUAUAUCUAACCUUGUUCAUUAGAGUUCUAUUCAUUCUUCCAUCGACCACAUUCUAUUAAGGCGUGUGCUCAAAGCUCACCCCGUGUGACUUUUCCAACACACACGUUACACAAAAUUCAAGGGGCUCAAUUAUAUCUUUCCCAAGUAAUUUUCGAUUAGUUGAUACUUGAGAUCCUUAUUUCCUAUAUGUCACAUUUUGUUAUGCCACAAUUCUGACUUGUUUUUAGUUAUGCUCAAAGAUUUAGCAUCUUGACCAGCAAUAGUCUCUCCCACUAAAUAGUACAAUCCAUUUCUUUCUGGUCCUUUAAAGAUUAUCGAAGAUCCCUUCAUAACUUUCAAAGUGUUAUUUUUAAACUUGAAAGAAUGUUCCUCAUCUUUAAGAAUUUCCAAUAAGAUGAGAUUUUUUUUCAAGCUUAGGACAUAUCUUACAUUUUUAAUUGCGUGACAAUGCCAUCUUACCAAGAACACUUCAAGAGUUAUUAUCACCCAUUUACACUUUUCUGUGUUCAACUUAUUUGUAAUUAUUAAACAAAGAUUUAUUAGGAUACAUGUGGAAUGUACACCUUGAAUCCAAGAUCCAGCCAUUAUCAACUUCUUCAUUAGGCACAAUCAUUACAAGUAGACUAUCUAACUCAAAACCAAUGGAAGAAUUAUUCAAUUUCCCAAUAUUUUGAUUCUUUAGUUUUUUCUUCCAUUCAAAACAAUCUUAUUUAGAGUGACCUAGUUUCCCAUUAUUGCUUUUCUCUUGAUUUAGAUCUAGUUUUAGAUUUCGAUUUAGAUCUUCUGUUGUUGAAGUUAUUCUUCUUCUUCUCUACCAUUCCUCUUACGAACAUACUCUCCUCUCUUAAACUUAUCCUAAAUUUUUUCUUGACCUCCAAGUCCCUAGACUUUAGAGCAUUAGUAACAAUUGUUUGUGUUAGGUCGUCUCUUGAGUAUUUUAUCACAUUCUUGCAUAAAAAUUAGGUAAUGAAUUAAAAAGGAUUUCCGCAAGAUCCUCAUCCUCAGAUUUUUUAUUAUUAUGAGCAAGGCUCUUAACUAAGAUACUAAAAUCACUCAAAUUAGCUUCCAAGUCUUUCCCGAUAUCUAUUUUAAAACUAAAAACUUUCUCUAAAAAUGUGUUUGAUUACAUUUAUUUUUCAUAAAAAAUUUCAGUUUUCCACCGAAAUUCCUACUUAAAGUGUUUGAUUGCUAUUUUUUUCCAUAAAAAAUAUUUUCCAACUUUUGAAAACAUGUCUAAUUUUCCUUGUUUUUAAUUAAAAUAUUUUCCUUAAGUAGUGGUGAUUUUUAUUUUCCACAAAAAAUGAAUAACAUUUUCUUUUCUAAAUGAUAUUUUCUAUGUCAAUCAAACACAAUCUAAAAAGUAGAUUUUAUUAACAAGGUUUUAGUCAGAAACAAAGCAUCUAAUGUAGCCCAUAAGGCUCUAGGGGUUUUAGCAUCUUCCACUUGUCUUUUUAUGUUAUCAAAUAAGUGCAAUAUGACAGAAUUAUAUGCAAUUUCAUUAAUAUUUAUAAUUUCAUCAAACUUAGCUUUCAAUUCAGCAGAAAAAGUUUCUAGAUCAUCCAAGGCUUUAGCAAUCAUUUGUUGGACCAAUAUGACCCUCAUUUUCUACUUCCAGAUAAAGUAAUCCCCCUUUUCAUCGAAUUGUGAUAAUUCAACCAUCGAACCCAUUGUAGGUUCUAUAAAAAGGUGGCUAUUACUCGUUGACAUUAGUGAUUCUUAAUUUGAGAAAUCACUUAAGUUGCAAAACAAGUUUUGCAGUCAAUGACAAGUAAGCUGAUCUCAGAAUGAAAAACAACAGCAAUAUAAUAUACGCAGACUGCAAUAGUAACAAGAAGAAACGAUUUUAGAUUUUUUGCAGAUGGUACCACUCAGUCAAAUUAAAGAAACUGGUAUCCUAAACGUGUUCCUAUUACAAUUAGAUAAUUUAUCCAAUUCUUGAAUAAAACAAAUCACAGUAUCAAUAGAUUCACAUAUUAAUAAUUAAAUCACGCGAAUCAAUUUCUGUAAAUUUGUAUAGGAACUAUCUCAUCAAAUAGUGUAUAAAAAUAUUCAACCAAACUCCAGUGCUGAUUUCAGAACCGAAUAUUCCGUUCAGUUCGAGUUAUUGGUAUUGCAUAGAUCAAUAACUUUAAAUCAAAUUUCAUAGAUGCCUUACCCACGCCUCACCAGACUCCGAUACCAGUUUAUUGGGAUUUUGCCACCCAACCGAAGCAAUAUUCAGAAAAUUGAAACAUAGACCCACGAAAACAGUAAUAAUCAACACAAGAAAUGCUCAACCAAUUUGACAAAGCCUACUCGGGGGACUCAGACGUAAAAACCCAUCACUAUAUUUAAGAACCUCUCAAGAGAGAGAUUAAGUUUAGAGUACGACAAUCAGAUCACUGACCUAAUUAGUAGAUCAUCGAUCUAUAACAGGUCUCACAAUAACACCACCUAACUGGCACAAGAGUAGAAUAGUUCUUUACAGCGCAAAACCAACUUAAAGAAGCCUCUAAACUUCCUGUCAUGAACACUAUACACAGGCCACAACACAAGCCUGAGAUUACAACAAACCAAAGGCCACAAAUCAAGGUCAAUAUCUGAUUUACAACAAAGAAUGAACUACAGAUUUGAAAACCGAAGGUGACGAUAUUAGAGAGACCAAAAAAUGCCAGAGACUCAGAGAAGAAAACCAAGAGAAUGAAAUGAACCUCUUC
rnacentral:lncRNA from 1 species